CUGCUCAGUGUCACCCUCCUUGCUGAGUGGGGUCCCAUUGGUGAGUUUUCAGAUGAAUCAAGGAUGCUCCAGGUAGAGCCCCUGUUACUCCAGGCAGAGCCCUUGUCUGCGGGGAGCUGGCCCUCCUCGGGUGCCUGGAGAGGGCACAUAUGUUGGGGGUGGUCAGUGCGGCUCAGGUCUCCACACUACCUGCCCCCUGCUUCCCUCCUGCUGAGGCCGGGUGGACUCCAGGGAGGGGAGCCAGUGUUCUUGGGUUCACGGACACAGAGCAGGAUGUGGGGACAGAAAAAUCAAAUCCCUGCACAGACCCCUCCAGGUCUGCAGCCACCUGUGGUCCUGAGGGCCACACAGCUCAUGGUUUGCAACCCGGGUCAUUUUUUUUCUAACUCAGUAAAGCCUGACCUCUCUGGUCACAGCCAUCACUGCCAAAAGCAGGUCAAAGGCAACUCCCUUGUGCACAGAGCAGGUCCACUUUUAACUGGGUUUGGUUUUAUUUCCUCUGUCAAUAUUAUUAUUUAAUAAUUAUUUAAUAUUGUACCAAAUACAUCAUUUUCUUUUCUCACCGUAACUUACUGUAUUUCAAACUGCUUCUCAGUAAAUUGUCUUCUUUAUGCAUUUCCUUCAGGAAUUCUAGUAUUCUCACAUUGCCAUAAGGAAAUCCCCGAGACCAGGUAAUUUAUAAAGGAAAGAGGUUUAAUUGACUUAGUUCCACAUUGCUGUGGAGGCCUCAGGAAGCUUACAAUCAUGGCGGAAUGCACCUCCUCACAGGGCUGCAGGAGAGAGAAUGAGCACCAGCAGGGGAAAUGUGAUACUUAUAAAACCAUCAGAGACUCACUCAUUAUCACGAGAAUGACAUGGGGGAAACCACCCCCAUGACUCAAUCACCUCCCACUGGGUCCCUCCCGUGACAUGUGGGGAUUAUGGGGGUGAGAUUUGGGUGGGGACACAGCCAAAUCAAGAUGAGAUUUGGGUGGGGACACAGCCAAACCAUAUCAGGUAGUGAUGAAAAUA
rnacentral:lncRNA from 1 species